AUGAAGACGGUAUGAAAUGUAUUUUUCUGAUCCAAAGAAUGGUUGCUGGAUAUUCCUAUGAAGAAAACUAAAGGAGGCACCUCCACAGUUUGACUAGUUAAUCCCAGUCUUCAAAAACCAAGUAAACCUAUAAAGGAGAAUAUUUGUAGCUCAGGGACCCCUCACCUCUUUAACUGCCUAGUUGCAACUGGGCUGCUUAAUUACUGUAAUCCAGGAAGGGAUUUUGAUCCAAGUUCUGCACUUCCUGGGAAGACUGUUAGAUAAUACUUAUUUUGUGUCUCCCACAUAAACACGUUUGCCUAGAGAUAGACAGCGGAUGAAAUGUCAUCCCAUUUCACUGGUCAGUUACCUUAUGUGCUGUCCUGUUCAGGCCUUAGCGUGAAUGCAUGAAUAUGUGACAUGGGAACAGGCCAACUACCCACUUCCAAACCAGAAGACAUUUAAGCAAAUGUGAUAGAGUAAUUGGCUUCCUUUGAUAAAGUUCUAUAUCUCUGUGGCUUCUUCCUUACUCCCAUUUUAAUCAAUUGAGUCUGUUGAAAGACUCCUUGUUCUUUGAGAUAGUGGCUACUAAUGGGCUCUUCUUUCCUUGACUGUUCCCAGCAGGUUAAACGAUUUGCACCCUGAAUGGAAUCUUGCUAAAUUUAGCAGGGAGAUUAAAAGGGCACGAAAUGACUGGUGAGAUAUAAUUUCAACAUUUGAAUUUAACAAAAUUCAGAAGAUGGGUUUUAUACGGUAGAUAUGAACAGUAACGUCAGUUCGCUAUUAUUCUUCAUCAGAAAUGAGUUUAUUCCCAUUUGAGAAAACAAAAGGACUGGAACUUUGCAGGUGAUACAAUCACUUUUAUAAUUUGCUGAUCCCUUGUAGACCUGUGAAUGAAGUGUUACUGUGUUGUGUAUUUAAAUGGAAACCUAUAUUUAAUCUUUGCCCCUGGAACAACCUGGCACCCAUAGGAAUAUUUAGUAAAAGUAAAACGUGGGUUUAUUUGCUGCCUUAUUUUUAAAAA